UAAGAAAGGAGAACCCAGACGGGGAGAUGUAGUCAGAGAGCAGGGGAGGAAAGCUGUAAAAUGAAGACAUAGAUGAGAAAAAGACAUCUGGCCAUUUAUAAAUAUGUCCUAACUCCAACAGGGGGUGAGAUAUUUUAAGGGCAGAUUAAAAAGCAUCAAAAUACAAGAAGAUCUGUGGACUUUGACGAGAAAGCGUCACCUUUAGCAACACGGAACUGUCGGAGCGCCACCCUAACGGCACCACGGAUGUGGCAAGGACACACUUCCACCCCUCUGACCCACGUGCGGUUCACUCGUCUUCACUGCUGCGGCAUCUUCUCUCACUCGCUUAGAUCAGACUGCAUCUUCCCAUCCCUCCCUGCGACGUUUCCCCUGGAGUCUGUAACUGACCAAACCUUCUUGAUUGCUGUCUGCUGCUCAUACACGUUCUCUGGCCUGUUUGUCUGGUAAUAAAUGCUCUCCUUCCUUGGC
ensembl:lncRNA LOC102554533 uncharacterized LOC102554533